rnacentral:rRNA from 1 species
UACGUAGGGUGCUAGCGUUGUUCGGAAUCAUUGGGCGUAAAGGGCGCGUAGGCGGGAUGGCAAGUCGGUCGUGAAAUCCUUCGGCUCAACCGAAGAACGUCGGCCGAUACUGCCGUUCUUGAGGGAUGCAGAGGAGAUUGGAAUUCCCGGUGUAGCGGUGAAAUGCGUAGAUAUCAGGAGGAACACCGGUGGCGAAGGCGGCUACCUGGACAGAAACUGACGCUGAGGCGCGAAAGCUAGGGGAGCAAACAGG